GACGAACGCUGGCGGUAUGCUUAACACAUGCAAGUCGAACGAGACAAGAUGGAAGUGCUUGCACGGAAAUCUUAGAAAGUGGCGAACGGGUGAGUAACGCGUGGGUAACCUGCCCUAUGGAAAGGAAUAGCCUCGGGAAACUGGGAGUAAUGCCUUAUAAGAUAUAUUUGUCGCAUGGCAGAUGUAUUAAACGCUCCGGUGCCAUAGGAUGGACCCGCGUCCCAUUAGCUAGUUGGUGAGAUAACAGCCCACCAAGGCGACGAUGGGUAACCGGUGUGAGAGGGCGAACGGUCACACUGGAACGGAGACACGGUCCAGACUCCUACGGGAGGCAGCAGUGGGGAAUAUUGCGCAAUGGGGGAAACCCUGACGCAGCAAUACCGCGUGAGUGAAGAAGGUUUUCGGAUCGUAAAGCUCUGUUAUUGGGGAAGAAAAAAAGACGGUACCCAAGAAGAAAGUCCCGGCUAACUACGUGCCAGCCGCCGCAGUAA
rnacentral:rRNA from 1 species